GUCUUUUGAGAGAAAAGAAAUAUUUCUGCAAUUGAGAUUUUUGCAUACAUAUUUUAAUAUUUUAAAAUUAUCAAUUUUAUUUUGACUUUAUUUCCAAAAAUAAAUAAAUUCCAAUCUCCUCUUCACUGAAAAAUGAGCUCAUUUGAAUUAGGGAAAAUAGGCAGAUUGAAGUAAAGCACGCCGGCGACAACUUGGGUAAUUUUCUUCACUUUCCAAUGCUUAAUAUUUUGUGUUUCUUAUGAAUUAGUAACUUCUUUAUGUAUUUUGUAAUUUUUUAGUUAAAUUUGGGGAUUUGCUUUGAAUUGUUUUGUUGAUAUUAAACUACUCGUAAUUUUGGGAUUAUGCUUAACAAUAAGGUUCGGUUUGACCAUAGAUUUCAAAAUUGAAACUUGAAAAUUUGAGUUUUUGAAGCUGUGAUAUGUCUUUUACUUGAAAAAAGUUUGAAAUUUUUUGAGUAGAAAUGAAAUUUCUUCAAAAACAGAUCAAAUUUCGAUAGUUGAAGGUAAAAUCUAUGGGUGACUGCUAGCUAAGUCCAUUGUUGAUUGUUGAAACAGGUAAUUUUACUAGGUAGCUUAAAUCAUAGCAGUUGCUGAAAUUUCUGUCGUAUACCGGGUAACUUUCAUUGCCAUGAAAGUUGCAAUGUGUGUGUUAACAAAUUUGAAUACACAUUUUAUUGUUUUCAGUACUAGGUUCUGGCC
rnacentral:lncRNA from 1 species